UACAUGUGGGGCAAGCGUUGUUCGGAAUUUCUGGGCAUAAAGGGUGCGUAGGCGGUUUGUUAAGUCACUGGUGAAAGUUUUCGGCCCAACCGGAAAAUUGCCUGUGAUACUGGCGAACUUGAGUGCGUGAGGGGUGGGGGGAACGAGCAGUGUAGCGGUGAAAUGCGUAGAUAUUGCUCGGAAGGCCGGAGCCGAAGGGGCCCCACUGGUACGUAACUGACGCUGAGGCACGAAAGCGUGGGGAGCAAACAGG
rnacentral:rRNA from 1 species